UCCACCCUUCCUUCUUCCCCUCUGCCCCGACGCGAACACCCCUCUUCCUUCUCUCUCGCAGACAAGCGGCGCCGAAGGGAUUAGGGCUUUCAGCUCCGGCGAUCUUCCUCUAUCGACAUUGGCGGCCGUUGAGCUCAGAUCCAGGCAGCACUAUUCCUCUCCGGAUCACAGACAUGGCGUUGUAUAUUCUCUAGUCGACAGCCGACCUUUCUUCCCCGAUCCGAUCGGUGGUGUGAAGAGACAAAUAGGGCGCUGAGGAUCGGAUCUUGGAUCCCUUCUUCGUUGCGAUUGAUUGGGGGUUGCGGUUGAAUUAGGUCACGGAUUGGAGGUAUUGGAGAUCAGUGAGUUUGUUCUUGAGCUGUCGGGCAGAGUCUAGGUUUGUAAUUGAUCAGUGAUGAUCUUCCGAUUGGGUGAUUUCUUCUUCCUUGCUGCUGGCUAAUCUGUUGAGCAGCUCAAUUGGGUUUCGGCAGAACCUCCCUCCAGCAGCAUCUUGUUUCAACAGCAACUUGAUUAAAGCAGUGAGGUUCUGUUGCUGUGUUGUUGACAAAGGUUUUGGAUCAGUGAGGUGAAUUCGAGCAGCAUUCCUUGAUCCAGCAAUCAACAGGGCUGUGAAUCGAGGUUGAGGCCGGCAGGAGAGAUUCCAGUCGCUAGCCCCUUUAUCGUGAGGAUUUCCUGUUGU